UAUAUCCUGCCUUGUGCGAUAAGUUUUACAUUUUGCGUCAACCACAUUUCGUAAAAGGGAAUCGUGUUCGGGUGUUGAUGUCAGGUCACGAAGGCUUCCGUGUGGAGUCAGAAAGCAUUGCUUCAGUGAAAGACAGAGGGCAUUCGGUAGAUUACCCACCCUGUUUUAGCAGGUUGAAUCCAUCGUAAAACCCGGCAAGGCGGGAUUUUU
rnacentral:other from 2 species